GCCAGCCUUAGCAUGCUGGCUUGUUGCCUCUUGGUUUUAAAAUGGUUGCUGUAACUACAGUGGGUUUCUAAUAGACUUAAAUGAAAGGGCACCGCUUGAUUCAAGGAAUUGAGAAGCAAGAUGUGUCUUCAAGCAUGGCUAGAUCCAGAUAACUCGUCAGAAGAUAGGUGUUACAAAGACUUUCAAGCCCAAGGAACUGCUGAAGAGACUGCAUCGAAGAUCCAGCAUCCAUAGUGUACUUCAUGGAAUCCAGACUGCGCCAACUGACAGCAAUAGAGAGGCCUCAGGAGAAGCUAAGGAUUUGCUAACUGUGAAGAAAAAGAUUAUGUGUUUCACAACACUGCAAGCCUCGAAACCACAGAAGCAGUGAGCAAGCUAACAUUUAUUCUAAAGAUAAACAUGAAAUCCAGUUUAUACCUCCAGGUCAACACUCUCAUCUGAUCUCAGAAGAAUUCAUCAUUUUUUGAGGACCUACUUUGUGCUAGGAACUUUAUGUAAAU
rnacentral:lncRNA from 1 species